ACCAGCACGUUAUGGUGGCACUCUAAGGAGACUGCCGGUGACAAACCGAGGAAGUGGGGAUGACGUCAAGUCAUCAUGGCCCUUACGGCCUGGGCUACACACGUGCUACAAUGGUCGGUACAAAGGGUUGCCAAGCCGCGAGGUGGAGCUAAUCCCAUAAAACCGAUCGUAGUCCGGAUCGCAGUCUGCAACUCGACUGCGUGAAGUCGGAAUCGCUAGUAAUCGUGAAUCAGAAUGUCACGGUGAAUACGUUCCCGGGCCUU
rnacentral:rRNA from 1 species